rnacentral:lncRNA from 1 species
CUUGAUGAGCUAUGUUGCUACCAUUUGUCAUUACUUCCAAAGACCUCAUGUGUCUUCUGAGCCAUGAUUUCUCUCCUUUUUUUUUCUGAAUAUCAUUUGAAUAUGUGUCUUCCUGUGCUUACCUACAAAUUCUGUCUGAGGUCAGAUGUUUAUCAAUUUUCACUGAGUUUACUAUGUAAAAAAAGAAAAGACUCUCCACUGCCCACCAAUUCCAUCCACUCAAUGGCCACCAGAAUUAACAUCAAUAUCUGGGUGUCUUAUAAGCAAACUAUACUCAGCGUGUUU